CACGUAGGGCGCAAGCGUUGUCCGGAAUUAUUGGGCGUAAAGAGCUCGUAGGCGGUCUGUUACGUCUGCUGUGAAAACCCAGGGCUUAACCCUGGGCUUGCAGUGGAUACGGGCAGACUAGAGGCAGGUAGGGGAGAAUGGAAUUCCCGGUGUAGCGGUGAAAUGCGCAGAUAUCGGGAGGAACACCGGUGGCGAAGGCGGGUCUCUGGGCCGACAUUGACGCUGAGGAGCGAAAGCGUGGGGAGCGAACAGG
rnacentral:rRNA from 1 species